rnacentral:rRNA from 1 species
UACGGGAGGCAGCAGUGGGGAAUAUUGCACAAUGGGCGCAAGUCUGAUGCAGCCAUGCCGCGUGUAUGAAGAAGGCCUUCGGGUUGUAAAGUACUUUCAGUCGUGAGGAAGGUGUUAAGGUUAAUAACCUUAGCAAUUGACGUUAGCGACAGAAGAAGCACCGGCUAACUCCGUGCCAGCAGCCGCGGUAAUACGGAGGGUGCGAGCGUUAAUCGGAAUUACUGGGCGUAAAGGGCACGCAGGCGGUUAAUUAAGUUGGAUGUGAAAUCCCCGGGCUUAACCUGGGAAUGGCAUUCAAGCUGGUUAGCUAGAGUCUUGUAGAGGGGGUAGAAUUCCAUGUGUAGCGGUGAAAUGCGUAGAGAUGUGGAGGAAUACCGGUGGCGAAGGCGGCCCCUGGACAAAGGACUGACGCUCAUGUGCGAAAGCGUGGGGAGCAAAC